rnacentral:rRNA from 1 species
UACAGAGGUGGCAAGCGUUGUUCGGAAUUACUGGGCGUAAAGGGCGCGUAGGCGGCCAUCUAAGUCAGACGUGAAAUCCCCCGGCUUAACCUGGGAACUGCGUCUGAUACUGGAAGGCUUGAGUAUGGGAGAGGGAUGUAGAAUUCCAGGUGUAGCGGUGAAAUGCGUAGAUAUCUGGAGGAACAUCGGUGGCGAAGGCGACAUCCUGGACCGGUAUUGACGCUGAGGCGCGAAAGCCAGGGGAGCAAACGGG